GUCAGAUACACAAACAGGCAAAUUCAACCUGACCUAAAUACCCAUCCACUCUGCCUACACAGCAUAAAAAUCUCUCAUUCGUAUCAGCAUUUACAGUUGAAAUCCACACCAGGUUAUGACCAUGGCCAUUGUACAGAGUCUGCUCCUUUUGACUCUCAUCUCAGCUGCUUGCUGUCAGUCUCUCACCUCGUCAGAGCCAGUGGUCAGCAGACCAGGACAAUCAGUCACUCUGUCCUGUAGAGUUCAAGGAAUCGCUCUGUCUUGGUUGCACUGGAUUCGUCAAAAACCUGGGAAAGGACUAGAAUGGAUCGGACGCAUUGAUGAUGGGACUGGCACAAUAUUUGCCCAAAGUCUUCAAGGCCAGUUUUCCAUCACCAAAGACACUUCCCAAAAUCGUGUGAAUUUAGUGGUGAACAGCCUCAAACAGGAAGAUUCUGCUGUUUGUUACUGUGCACGAUAGCCACAGUGAAAUAAGAGACUGAAAGGCCAUGCAAAAACUGUGUGUGUGAGGACCACCGAACCAUUUCAGCCUAGUGAGUUAAAUACUGAUGGAGUUAUCCAUGAAACAAAUGAGUAAAAAUACAAUUGUC